rnacentral:rRNA from 1 species
AUUUUCGUCAAUGGGCGCAAGCCUGAACGAGCGAUGCCGCGUGAGUGAAGAAGGCCUUCGGGUCGUAAAGCUCUGUUGCGGGGGAAAAAAGGCAGCAUCAGGAAAUGGGUGCUGACUGAUGGUGCCCCGCCAGAAAGUCACGGCUAACUACGUGCCAGCCGCCGCGGUAAUACGUAGGUGGCGAGCGUUAUCCGGAAUGAUUGGGCGUAAAGGGUGCGCAGGCGGUCCUGCAAGUCUGGAGUGAAACGCAUGAGCUCAACUCAUGCAUGGCUUUGGAAACUGGAGGACUGGAGAGCAGGAGAGGGCGGUGGAACUCCAUGUGUAGCGGUAAAAUGCGUAGAUAUAUGGAAGAACACCAGUGGCGAAGGCGGCCGCCUGGCCUGUUGCUGACGCUGAGGCACGAAAGCGUGGGGAGCAAAUAGGA